CCUACGGGAGGCAGCAGUGGGGGAUAUUGGACAAUGGGGGAAACUCUGAUCCAGCGAUGCCGCGUGAGGGAUGAAGGCCUUCGGAUUGUUAACCUUUGUGGAGGUGGACGUAAAUGAUGCUACCUCUUUAGGAAGCUAUGUCUAACUACGUGCCAGCAGCCCCGGUAACACGUAGGUGGCGAGCGUUGUACGGAAUUACUGGGUGUAAAGGGAGUGUAGGCGGGUAAGCAAGUCAGAAGUGAAAACUAUGGGCUUAACCUAUAGCCUGCUUUUGAAACUGUUAUUUUUGAGUAAAGUAGAGGCGAGCGGAAUUCGUGGUGUAGCGGUGAAAUGCGUAGAUAUUAGGAAGAACACCAGUGGCGAAGGCAGCUUACUGGGCUUUUACUGACGCUGAGGCUCGAAAGCGUGGGGAGCAAACAGGAUUAGAUACCCUGGUAGUC
rnacentral:rRNA from 1 species